GACGAACGCUGGCGGCGUGCCUAAUACAUGCAAGUCGAGCGAACGGACGAGAAGCUUGCUUCUCUGAUGUUAGCGGCGGACGGGUGAGUAACACGUGGAUAACCUACCUAUAAGACUGGGAUAACUUCGGGAAACCGGAGCUAAUACCGGAUAAUAUUUUGAACCGCAUGGUUCAAAAGUGAAAGACGGUCUUGCUGUCACUUAUAGAUGGAUCCGCGCUGCAUUAGCUAGUUGGUAAGGUAACGGCUUACCAAGGCAACGAUGCAUAGCCGACCUGAGAGGGUGAUCGGCCACACUGGAACUGAGACACGGUCCAGACUCCUACGGGAGGCAGCAGUAGGGAAUCUUCCGCAAUGGGCGAAAGCCUGACGGAGCAACGCCGCGUGAGUGAUGAAGGUCUUCGGAUCGUAAAACUCUGUUAUUAGGGAAGAACAUAUGUGUAAGUAACUGUGCACAUCUUGACGGUACCUAAUCAGAAAGCCACGGCUAACUACGUGCCAGCAGCCGCGGUAAUACGUAGGUGGCAAGCGUUAUCCGGAAUUAUUGGGCGUAAAGCGCGCGUAGGCGGUUUUUUAAGUCUGAUGUGAAAGCCCACGGCUCAACCGUGGAGGGUCAUUGGAAACUGGAAAACUUGAGUGCAGAAGAGGAAAGUGGAAUUCCAUGUGUAGCGGUGAAAUGCGCAGAGAUAUGGAGGAACACCAGUGGCGAAGGCGACUUUCUGGUCUGUAACUGACGCUGAUGUGCGAAAGCGUGGGGAUCAAACAGGAUUAGAUACCCUGGUAGUCCACGCCGUAAACGAUGAGUGCUAAGUGUUAGGGGGUUUCCGCCCCUUAGUGCUGCAGCUAACGCAUUAAGCACUCCGCCUGGGGAGUACGACCGCAAGGUUGAAACUCAAAGGAAUUGACGGGGACCCGCACAAGCGGUGGAGCAUGUGGUUUAAUUCGAAGCAACGCGAAGAACCUUACCAAAUCUUGGCAUCCUUUGACAACUCUAGAGAUAGAGCCUUCCCCUUCGGGGGACAAAGUGACAGGUGGUGCAUGGUUGUCGUCAGCUCGUGUCGUGAGAUGUUGGGUUAAGUCCCGCAACGAGCGCAACCCUUAAGCUUAGUUGCCAUCAUUAAGUUGGGCACUCUAAGUUGACUGCCGGUGACAAACCGGAGGAAGGUGGGGAUGACGUCAAAUCAUCAUGCCCCUUAUGAUUUGGGCUACACACGUGCUACAAUGGACAAUACAAAGGGCAGCGAAACCGCGAGGUCAAGCAAAUCCCAUAAAGUUGUUCUCAGUUCGGAUUGUAGUCUGCAACUCGACUACAUGAAGCUGGAAUCGCUAGUAAUCGUAGAUCAGCAUGCUACGGUGAAUACGUUCCCGGGUCU
rnacentral:rRNA from 1 species